GAUGAACGCUGGCGGCGUGCCUAAUACAUGCAAGUCGAACGCUUCACUUCGGUGAAGAGUGGCGAACGGGUGAGUAAUACAUAAUUACCCUGGCAUCUACAGGGGGAUAACUGAUGGAAACGUCAGCUAAGACCGCAUAGGUGUAGAGAUCGCAUGAACUCUAUAUGAAAAGUGCUACGGGACUGGUAGAUGAUGGACUUAUGGCGCAUUAGCUUGUUGGUAGGGUAACGGCCUACCAAGGCGACGAUGCGUAGCCGACCUGAGAGGGUGACCGGCCACACUGGGACUGAGACACGGCCCAGACUCCUACGGGAGGCAGCAGUAGGGAAUUUUCGGCAAUGGGGGAAACCCUGACCGAGCAACGCCGCGUGAAGGAAGAAGUAAUUCGUUAUGUAAACUUCUGUCAUAGAGGAAGAACGGUGGAUAUAGGGAAUGAUAUCGAAGUGACGGUACUCUAUAAGAAAGCCACGGCUAACUACGUG
rnacentral:rRNA from 1 species